UACGGAGGGUGCAAGCGUUGUCCGGAAUUACUGGGCGUAAAGCGCACGCAGGCGGUCUGUCAAGUCGGAUGUGAAAUCCCCGGGCUCAACCUGGGAACUGCAUCCGAAACUGGCAGGCUAGAGUCUUGUAGAGGGGGGUAGAAUUCCAGGGGUAGCGGUGAAAUGCGUAGAGAUCUGGAGGAAUACCGGUGGCGAAGGCGGCCCCCUGGACAAAGACUGACACUACGGUGCGAAGGCGUGGGGAGCAAACAGG
rnacentral:misc_RNA from 1 species